rnacentral:misc_RNA from 1 species
AAAAAAAAAGAACGGAAAAGAGAAAAUGUUGCAGUGAAUACUAACUGCCCAGACUCCAAAGGCAUGAAAUGCAUUUCUAACAGCCCUCCCACAGAAAUGAGUAGAUGCUGUCACUAAAGACUCACUGUUGUUGUUGGAUUUCAAGUGAUGCACAGCUAUGAAUACGUUCAGCUAAUGAUAUUCUCUGAUAGUACAAACCAUCAGGCAAGCUUAGGCUUCUAUUUCCACAACCAAUCAUGGAAGAACCAACCCCGAGAUGAUUAUUUAUUGUCCAGUAAGUUUCACAUGCAGAAUUCUUA